rnacentral:rRNA from 1 species
UACGUAGGGUGCAAGCGUUUGUCCGGAAUUAUUGGGCGUAAAGAGCUCGUAGGCGGUUUGUCGCGUCUGCUGUGAAAACCCGAGGCUCAACCUCGGGCCUGCAGUGGGUACGGGCAGACUAGAGUGCGGUAGGGGAGAUUGGAAUUCCUGGUGUAGCGGUGGAAUGCGCAGAUAUCAGGAGGAACACCAAUGGCGAAGGCAGAUCUCUGGGCCGUGAACUGACGCUGAGGAGCGAAAGCAUGGGGAGCGAACAGG